AUUGAACGCUGGCGGCAGGCCUAACACAUGCAAGUCGAACGAGUGGCGGACUGGUGAGUAAUUUCUGGGAAACUGCCCGAUGGAGGGGGAUCACUACUGGAAACGGUAGCUAAUACCGCAUACCAUCGGAUGUGCCCAGAUGGGAUUAGCUAGUAGGUGGGGUAACGGCUAACCUAGGCGACGAUCCCUAGCUGGUCUGAGAGGAUGACGAGCAACACGGGAACGGAGAGACGGACCAGACGGCUACGGGAGGCAGGAGAGGGGAAUAGGGCACAAUGGGGGAAAGCGUGAUGCAGAAAUGCCGAGUGUAUGAAGAAGGCGGUAGGGUGGUAAAGGACUGUCAGCGAGGAGGCGGUACUCGAAGAAGAAGCACCGGCUAAAUCCGUGCCAGCAGCAGCGGUAAUAG
rnacentral:rRNA from 1 species